rnacentral:misc_RNA from 1 species
ACGAAUUAGCUAGACAUCUUCCAGACAUCUUCAAAGCGCCAACCCUGCAGUUUCUUCUGUACACAACACACAAACAACCUCUAAACGCGCUGUACGCCAACCCAAUUAUAAAUCAGAGAAGAGAGAGAACAAGAUCAAAAAUCAAGAAACAAAGAACCCGAGGAGAGAAAGAAUCAAGAAACAAAGAAAAAAGCUCAGAGAGAGAGA